AUCGAACGCUGGCGGCAGGCCUAACACAUGCAAGUCGAGCGGAGGAAGGGAGCUUGCUCCUGGAUUCAGCGGCGGACGGGUGAGUAAUGCCUAGGAAUCUGCCUGGUAGUGGGGGAUAACGUCCGGAAACGGGCGCUAAUACCGCAUACGUCCUGAGGGAGAAAGUGGGGGAUCUUCGGACCUCACGCUAUCAGAUGAGCCUAGGUCGGAUUAGCUAGUUGGUGGGGUAAAGGCCUACCAAGGCGACGAUCCGUAACUGGUCUGAGAGGAUGAUCAGUCACACUGGAACUGAGACACGGUCCAGACUCCUACGGGAGGCAGCAGUGGGGAAUAUUGGACAAUGGGCGAAAGCCUGAUCCAGCCAUGCCGCGUGUGUGAAGAAGGUCUUCGGAUUGUAAAGCACUUUAAGUUGGGAGGAAGGGCAGUAAGUUAAUACCUUGCUGUUUUGACGUUACCAACAGAAUAAGCACCGGCUAACUUCGUG
rnacentral:rRNA from 1 species